rnacentral:rRNA from 1 species
GAUGAACGCUAGCGGAAGGCUUAAUACAUGCAAGUCGAGCGGUAGGUGGCUUCGGCCAUUGAGAGCGGCGCACGGGUGAGUAACGCGUACAUGACCUGCCUGUCAGAAGGGGAUAGCCCUGGGAAACUGGGAUUAAUACCCUAUGGUAUUGAUAUUAUGAAUGAUAUCAAUUAAAGUUGAGGCGCUGACAGAUGGAUGUGCGUCUGAUUAGCUAGUUGGUAGGUAACGGCCUACCAAGGCGACGAUCAGUAGGGGCGUGAGAGCGUGGUCCCCCACACGGGUACUGAGACACGGACCCGACUCCUACGGGAGGCAGCAGUAAGGAAUACUUGGGUCAAUGCCCGCAAGGGUGAACCAGCCAUUCCGCGUGGAGGAUGAAGGCCCUAUGGUUGUAAACUUCUUUAGAUGGGAGAAAUGCUAGAUGUAUCUGGUACUGAC